UUAAAGUUGUUAAAGUGGAAUGAUUGUUUUCCCAAUGCAAGUAUUGCAAAUAUAGUUCUGGCCAUCCCUAUGACCCUUUCAUCAGAGGAAAAGAGCUUUUCAAAAUUGAAAUUGUUGAAGUCUUAUAUACGCACUACCAUGACACAAUAA
rnacentral:rRNA from 1 species